AGGAUAUCUAUGCUAUAUAUGAUAGGAAUAGAAAUCCCCAUUUCGAAUAAAAAAUUUUAAGUCAGUUCUUCCAUGAUGAAACAGGUUUAAAAUAUAUUGAAAUAUCGUAUGGCAAUACAAGUACAUCGGUUAACAUGUGUGUACUUUAACAAAAAUAAAAUCCUAAGAUUUCAAUUGUGGUAUUUGAGCCCUAAAUAAAUUAUCCAGUUCUUUAAAUAAAGC
rnacentral:lncRNA from 1 species